rnacentral:rRNA from 1 species
AUUGAACGCUGGCGGCAGGCCUAACACAUGCAAGUCGAGCGAGCGGCGGACGGGUGAGUAAUGCCUGGGAAACUGCCUGAUGGAGGGGGAUAACUACUGGAAACGGUAGCUAAUACCGCAUAACAUCAGAUGUGCCCAGAUGGGAUUAGCUAGUAGGUGGGGUAACGGCUCACCUAGGCGACGAUCCCUAGCGGGUCUGCGAGGUUGACCAGCCACACGGAAACUGAGACACGGGCCAGACUCCUACGGGUGGGAGCGGUGGUAAAUAUUGCGCAAGGGGCGGUAGCCUGAGGCAGCCAUGCCGCGUGUGUGAAGGGGGCCUUCGGGUUGUAAAGCUCUUUCGGCGGGGAGGCGUUACCCGCAGAAGAAGCACCGGCUAACUCCGGGCCAGCAGCCGCGGUAAUA